UACGUAGGGUGCAAGCGUUGUCCGGAAUUAUUGGGCGUAAAGAGCUCGUAGGCGGUUUGUCGCGUCUGCUGUGAAAACCCGAGGCUCAACCUCGGGCCUGCAGUCGAUACGGGCAAACUAGAGUACUGCAGGGGAGACUGGAAUUCCUGGUGUAGCGGUGAAAUGCGCAGAUAUCAGGAGGAACACCGGUGGCGAAGGCGGGUCUCUGGGCAGUAACUGACGCUGAGGCGCGAGAGCGUGGGGGAGCAAACCGG
rnacentral:rRNA from 1 species